rnacentral:antisense_RNA from 1 species
GGGUUGCCAGACUGUCCUGGGCUGCCUGGCUGUCCUGGAUUGCCUGGCUGUCCUGGGCUGCCUGGCUGUCCUGGGUUGCCUGGCUGUCCUAGGUUGCCUGGUUGUCCUGGGCUGCCUGGCUGUCCUGGGGUGCCUGGUUGUCCUGGAUUAUUGCCCGGCUGUCCUGGGGUGCCUGGUUGUCCUGGGCUGCCUGGCUGUCCUGGAUUGCCC